UACGAAGGGGGCUAGCGUUGCUCGGAAUCACUGGGCGUAAAGGGUGCGUAGGCGGGUCUUUAAGUCAGGGGUGAAAUCCUGGAGCUCAACUCCAGAACUGCCUUUGAUACUGAGGAUCUUGAGUUCGGGAGAGGUGAGUGGAACUGCGAGUGUAGCGGUGAAAUGCGUAGAUAUCGGAAGGAACAUCAGUGGCGAAAGCGACUUCCUGGACCAGUACCGACGUUCAGGCACGAAAGCGUGGGGAGCAAACAGG
rnacentral:rRNA from 1 species